rnacentral:rRNA from 1 species
GACGAACGCUGGCGGCGUGCUUAACACAUGCAAGUCGAACGCUGAAGCUCAGCUUUUGUUGGGUGGAUGAGUGGCGAACGGGUGAGUAACACGUGAGUAACCUGCCCCCUUCUUUGGGAUAACGCCCGGAAACGGGUGCUAAUACUGGAUAUUCACUGGUCUUCGCAUGGGGGUUGGUGGAAAGGGUUUUUCUGGUGGGGGAUGGGCUCGCGGCCUAUCAGCUUGUUGGUGGGGUGAUGGCCUACCAAGGCUUUGACGGGUAGCCGGCCUGAGAGGGUGACCGGUCACAUUGGGACUGGGAUACGGCCCAGACUCCUACGGGGGGCAGCAGUGGGGAAUAUUGCACAAUGGGCGCAAGCCUGAUGCAGCGACGCCGCGUGAGGGAUGGAGGCCUUCGGGUUGUGAACCUCUUUCGCUCAUGGUCAAGCCGCAACAAUGGUUGUGGUGAGGGUAGUGGGUAAAGAAGCGCCGGCGAACUACGU